AUAAAGGCUUUAGAGUGGUUGUGUUUAUGGAUCUGGGUGUCAGUCGGCUGUCUGUCUGUGAAUUUGUGUGUGUGUGUGUGUGUGUGUGUGUGUGUGUGUGUGUGUGUGUGUGUGUGUGUGUGUGUGUGUGUGUGUGUGUGUGUGUGUGUGUGUGUGUGUGCGUGUGUGUACUCAUGCUUGCGUGUGUGCGUGUGUUUAGGGUCCAUCAGCUGUUUCCGGAAGUUCAAAGGGCCACACCACCACUACCAGGUUCAUCUCCAUUAAUAUUAACUGUGGGGUGAUGUCAUCUGUCUGGUCUCUGAGGGCCUGACUGGAUGUGAUUAGAGGCUACCCGGGCUGGAGCUUCUUUAGUGUCUUUUUUUAUUUUUACCUAUCUGUGGGUUAAUGGACAGACAUUUACACUGCUUGUCUCUCCUCUCCUCUCCUGUCCUCUCCUCUCUCCUCUCCUCUCUCCUCUCCUCUCCUCUCUUCCUCUCCUCUCCUCUCCUCUCUUCCUCUCCUCUCCUCUCUUCCUCUCCCUCUCUUCCUCUCCCUCUCCUCUCCUCUCCAUCUCCUCCUCUCCCCUCUUCCUUCAGGCCGACGCUGCAAAAAAAGAGCUGCUUCUCUCUGCUUCCCUCACCUGACAGCUGGAUGUUCAGAGGGAAGAAGAGGAAACAGAUGAGGGAUGUGGACUCUCUCAGCCGUGCAGUCUGGACAAUCAACGUGAGUAGAGAUUCAACUCAGAACACUGGCUUUUGUCUUCACCCCUCCUUUACACUCUAUCGCUGUCUCUCUGACAUUAACUUGUUAGGACCAUCUUAAACACCUUUGUAUGGUUGCUCCCAUCUCUCCUCCCCUUACCGAUAAGUGAUAUUCUAAACAAACAACGUCAAAUGCUCCGGAGCUGUAUUUUCAAGACAAGACUGAAGAAACCUGACCACCAGACACGGUGUGUAGCUCAGUCAAAGAACAAAAUAGUUUUUUUUUAAAUGCAACAAAAAAAUGCUUCAUGCCAUCAGUGAUAAGUUACGU
rnacentral:lncRNA from 1 species